UACGGAAGGCAGCGGUGGGGAAUAUUGCACAAUGGGCGAAAGCCUGAUGCAGCUAUGCCGCGUGUAUGAAGAAGGCCUUAGGGUUGUAAAGUACUUUCAUCGGGGAGGAAAAAACAAAACUAAUAAUUUUAUUUCUUGACGUUACCCGAAAAAGAAGCACCGGCUAACUCCGUGCCAGCAGCCGCGGUAAUACGGAGGGUGCUAGCGUUAAUCAGAAUUACUGGGCGUAAAGAGCACGUAGGUGGUUUUUUUAAGUCAGAUGUGAAAUCCCUGGGCUUAACCUAGGAACUGCAUUUUGAAACUGAAAUACUAGAGUAUCGUAGAGGGAGGUAGAAUUCUAGGUGUAGCGGUGAAAUGCGUAGAUAUCUGGAGGAAUACCUGUGGCGAAAGCGGCCUCCUAAACGAAUACUGACACUGAGGGUGCGAAAGCGUGGGGAGCAAACAGGGAUUUAGAUACC
rnacentral:rRNA from 1 species